rnacentral:rRNA from 1 species
AACGAACGCUGGCGGCAUGCCUAACACAUGCAAGUCGAACGAGACCUUCGGGUCUAGUGGCGCACGGGUGCGUAACGCGUGGGAACCUGCCCUUAGGUUCGGAAUAACUCCCCGAAAGGGGUGCUAAUACCGGAUAAUGUCUUCUGACCAAAGAUUUAUCGCCUUUGGAUGGGCCCGCGUUGGAUUAGCUCGUUGGUAGGGUAAAAGCCUACCAAGGCGACGAUCCAUAGCUGGUCUGAGAGGAAGAUCAGCCACACUGGGACUGAGACACGGCCCAGACUCCUACGGGAGGCAGGAGAGGGGAAUAUUGGAAAAUGGGCGAAGGCAUGAUCCAGCAAGGCCGCGUGAGUGAUGAAGGCCGUAGGGUUGUAAAGCUCUUUUACCCGGGAUGAUAAUGACAGUACCGGGAGAAUAAGCUCCGGCUAACUCCGUG